rnacentral:piRNA from 1 species
UGCCAGAGACUCACUGACUGAGACGGAC